ACACAAACGCAAGAUCGUUACCAGUUGCGUGUUAACCAUAAAGGAGAUCGCCACGUUCGAAAAACUAUUUGUGUGAAGUGCCACUUUCUGAUCUCACUCGUGACUGCUGAUCUAGGGUCAGUUAACCGAAGCGGCCAAGCCAUCGUGCCGCUGGAUUGAGCAAGAAAGGAGGGAUUGCCGGCUAGGCAAGUGUGAUCGUUGAGCGAAGCUGAGGACGCGAGGAAGGGGACACUACCUGGAUCUGGAUUCUUCGAGGGACGUAAUGGCGCUGGAGUAGUUCCGCCAUGAGGAUUAAGAGAUCGGCCUAUAUUCUAUUUUCACAUUUUUGUGAAAUGGCGGGUGUGCGGCGUGCCAAGUGCGCUGCCUGGUCGUCCCGCACGAUGU